rnacentral:ncRNA from 1 species
GAUAUACAUUGGCAAACCUUUUGAAAAGAAGGGACGCAAAGCCGUGGGUCUAAGGACGAUUUAAGUCUAUGAUUGCCUGGUUGCAUUU